GGUCAAGUGAAGAAGCGCAUACGGUGGAUGCCUUGGCAGUCAGAGGCGAUGAAAGACGUGGUAGCCUGCGAAAAGCUUCGGGGAGUCGGCAAACAGACUUUGAUCCGGAGAUCUCUGAAUGGGGGAACCCACCUAGGAUAACCUAGGUAUCUUGUACUGAAUCCAUAGGUGCAAGAGGCGAACCAGGGGAACUGAAACAUCUAAGUACCCUGAGGAAAAGAAAUCAACCGAGAUUCCCUUAGUAGUGGCGAGCGAACGGGGAUUAGCCCUUAAGCUUCAUUGAUUUUAGCGGAACGCUCUGGAAAGUGCGGCCAUAGUGGGUGAUAGCCCCGUACGCGAAAGGAUCUUUGAAGUGAAAUCGAGUAGGACGGAGCA
rnacentral:rRNA from 1 species